GUGUUACAUGGCAUCAAGGAGAACAUAAAUAUCAAAGGUAUGCAUCCAUACUAAUAUAACAUAACAGAGAAGUAUCGUGAUGCACGUGAAUACACAGUUAUGCGAGGUUCCCAUACUUUCCAUCAUGACAUAAUAAACUGUGCAUUUCAACCUCCAUUCAUUCAUAACAUAUUAAAUCCAGUAAUUGUGCGUACAUAAUUCUUAUACAUUAUUUCAUACCUGACAUGACAUAGGGAAGUUGUGCAUCAUAGAUUUCCUUAUUUCAAAAUAUAUCAUGACAUGUCAUAGCAUAACAUAACAUUUCAUGGCAUGCCAUAACAUAACAUAACUUAUCAUUAUAUAGCAUGCCAUUUCGAUUAUAUUAUAAUAUUAUUUGGCAUAUCAUAUAGCAGAAUAUACAUAACAUCACAUAUCAAAGUAUAUCACACGUAUGAUAUGUGCAAGGGCCAUUGGGCACGUGUCAUACACAUAAAGCAAUUCUUCCAAUCAAAAGAAUAUUUGAUUCUACUCUGACUUUUUUCACGGAAGUUGUAUGAAAUUCUUCCAAGAACAACAUAUCAAAAUUUGAGGACGCAAUUCCUCUUAAAUCUCUCAUGUCUAGAAAAAAAUCGAUGACGAAAAAAAUUCAAAACUUACCUCUCGUUCUUCCUCGAUUCAAUAUGGUUUUGAAUGAUUCAUGUGUCCAAACUAGAUGUUCAAAAGGUUUUUCGAGAAGGUUUUGUCGGACCAGGAGGACCAAGAGCUCUCAAACGGUUAUCUGUUUUAAAUUUUUCUCUCAAACCCUAAUUAUAUCUCUUCCUUUUCUUUUUCUUCCUCCUUAAAAUCUAAUUUCUGCCCUUCACACACCCUUCAUUAGGAAAGGGAGUCGAAAGGACCAUUUUCCUCUUUUACACCCUAUUGAAAGUCUCUUUAAAAUUCUCAAUAAAA